GGUAUCAAAUUGGGUAAAUAAUGGAUAGGUUUAGAAUUUGACCAAAUAGUCUACAUUUGUUUGAGUAACUUUAUUAAAUGUUUGAGGUAUAUAGUUAGACACAUUGACUUCUGAAUGUUGGAGAAACUUAAUUAUGGAGUCACAUGAAGACGAUUGUCUGGAGCAUGUGGAGAAAUACCAUAUUUGAGGGAGAACUAUUAUCUUUUAAUUUUGGACCUCUAAUGGCACGUGUGAAUAGAGGUGUGUGGAUAUAGAUACACAUUUAUGUGGAUAGCUAUGGAUGUAGAAGCUCCCCAACCAAAAACAAAUCCAGAUUAAAUUUUCUGUUGUUUGGUGAUAUGUCUGAUUAGAAGGCUAUGUAAACUCGCCCAAAGGAGUUGGAUAACUACUGAAAAAAAGGGGUAUUGAUUAAUAAAAUUGUCCAUGCCAACAUACAGAAGAAAGUGUGGAAUUGCGUGUGGUUUAGAAAUCUGAAGUGUUGAUGGAUAAACAGCACAAGCUUUCGAAAUGGGUCAGUGGUAAAAUGUGAGAGAACAAUUUACAGUUUUGUAUUUUUUUACUUUGAGCUUGAGCCCUAUUUUAUAUUCAGUGAUCUUGGUAAAUCUUAUUUUAUCAUUAUAGUAUUGUUAUCAUCAUCAGAUUGAUUAUUAUUAUUAUUAUUAU
rnacentral:misc_RNA from 1 species